GGGCGUCGGGGUGGCACGUGCGAGCCAGACGCCGGUAUGCUGUCUUGAUUUCCUGCGGCGUGGCCUCGGUGGCGACGCCGAGAACCUCGUAGAGAGAGGGCGUGGGUGGGGUGAGCUGAGGAGAGGGGAGAUCCGCCGCCGGUGCAGAGGAGUAGGCGGCAGCGACGCGACGGGGAACGAGCGAGGGGACUCCGGGGCUGAGGGGCCGGGCGGCGAUUCGGGUGCCAAUGAAUUGAGAAGGACACAAGGGGAGGAAAGGAGAAGCGAUCAUGGGG
rnacentral:misc_RNA from 1 species